rnacentral:rRNA from 1 species
GACGAACGCUGGCGGCGUGCUUAACACAUGCAAGUCGAACGGAAAGGCCCUGCUUUUGUGGGGUGCUCGAGUGGCGAACGGGUGAGUAACACGUGAGUAACCUGCCCUUGACUUUGGGAUAACUUCAGGAAACUGGGGCUAAUACCGUAUAGGAGCUCCUGCUGCAUGGUGGGGGUUGGAAAGUUUCGGCGGUUGGGGAUGGACUCGCGGCUUAUCAGCUUGUUGGUGGGGUAGUGGCUUACCAAGGCUUUGACGGGUAGCCGGCCUGAGAGGGUGACCGGCCACAUUGGGACUGAGAUACGGCCCAGACUCCUACGGGAGGCAGCAGUGGGGAAUAUUGCACAAUGGGCGGAAGCCUGAUGCAGCAACGCCGCGUGCGGGAUGACGGCCGUCGGGUUGUAAACCGCUUUCGCCUGUGACGAAGCGUGAGUGACGGUAAUGGGUAAAGAAGCACCGGCUAACUACGUG